rnacentral:rRNA from 1 species
GACGAACGCUGGCGGCGUGCCUAAUACAUGCAAGUAGGACGCAGUUGCGAACGGGUGAGUAACGCGUAGGUAACUACCUAUUAGAGGGGGAGAACUAUUGGAAACGAUAGAUAAUACCGCAUACUAGUAGAUGGACCUGCGUUGUAUUAGUUAGUAGGUAGGGUAAUGGCCUACCUAGGCAACGAUACAUAGACGACCUUAGACGGUGAUCCGCCAACCUUGUACUGAGACAACGCCCCAUCUCCCACGGGAUGCCUCAGUAGGGAAUCUUCGGCCAUGGGGGGAACCCUGACCGCGCCACGCCGCGUGAGUGAAUCAGGUUUUCCGAUUGUAAAGCUCUGUUGUUAAGGAAGCGGUACUUAACCAGAAAGGGACGGCUAACUACGUGCCAGCAGCCGCGGUAAUUC